CGUGUAGGCGGCCAGGUAGGUCUGCUGUGAAAACUCGAGGCUUAACCUCGAGAUGUCGGCGGAAACCAUCUGGCUAGAGUCCGGAAGAGGAGAAUGGAAUUCCCGGUGUAGCGGUGAAAUGCGCAGAUAUCGGGAAGAACACCCGUGGCGAAGGCGGUUCUCUGGGACGGUACUGACGCUGAGACGCGAAAGCGUGGGGAGCGAACA
rnacentral:rRNA from 1 species